GGGAUUGUGGCUCAGUGGUAGAGUAUUUGCCUGGCAUGCAUGAGACGCUGGGUUCAAUCCUCAGCACCA
rnacentral:tRNA from 1 species